rnacentral:rRNA from 1 species
GAUCAUGGCUCAGAUUGAACGCUGGCGGCAGGCCUAACACAUGCAAGUCGAGCGGUAGAGAGAAGCUUGCUUCUCUUGAGAGCGGCGGACGGGUGAGUAAUACCUAGGAAUCUGCCUGAUAGUGGGGGAUAACGUUCGGAAACGGACGCUAAUACCGCAUACGUCCUACGGGAGAAAGCAGGGGACCUUCGGGCCUUGCGCUAUCAGAUGAGCCUAGGUCGGAUUAGCUAGUUGGUGAGGUAAUGGCUCACCAAGGCUACGAUCCGUAACUGGUCUGAGAGGAUGAUCAGUCACACUGGAACUGAGACACGGUCCAGACUCCUACGGGAGGCAGCAGUGGGGAAUAUUGGACAAUGGGCGAAAGCCUGAUCCAGCCAUGCCGCGUGUGUGAAGAAGGUCUUCGGAUUGUAAAGCACUUUAAGUUGGGAGGAAGGGCAUUAACCUAAUACGUUGGUGUCUUGACGUUACCGACAGAAUAAGCACCGGCUAACUCUGUG